UACGGAGGGUGCGAGCGUUGUUCGGAAUUACUGGGCGUAAAGCGCGUGUAGGCGGCCGCUUAAGUCUGAUGUGAAAGCCCCGGGCUCAACCUGGGAAGUGCGUUGGAUACUGGCAGACUUGAAUACGGGAGAGGGUAGUGGAAUUCCUGGUGUAGGAGUGAGAUCCGUAGAUAUCAGGAGGAACACCGGUGGCGAAGGCGGCUACCUGGACCGAUAUUGACGCUGAGACGCGAAAGCGUGGGGAGCAAACAGG
rnacentral:rRNA from 1 species